rnacentral:rRNA from 1 species
UACGAAGGGGGCGAGCGUUGUUCGGAAUUACUGGGCGUAAAGGGCGCGCAGGCGGCUCUGAAAGUCAGAUGUGAAAGCCCCGGGCUUAACCUGGGAACUGCAUUUGAUACUCUGGAGCUUGAGUACGGGAGAGGAUAGUGGAAUUCCCAGUGUAGAGGUGAAAUUCGUAGAUAUUGGGAAGAACACCAGUGGCGAAGGCGGCCUUCUGGACGGUGACUGACGCUGAGACGCGAAAGCGUGGGGAGCAAACAGGG